AAUUAAAUAAACACUUAUGACUCCUAAAUAAGUCAUACAAAACAGGCUCAAGAGUCAAACAAUAGGAUUUUUUUUUUAAAUCCUAAAAUUAAUACAACUGUUCAUAAUUCCAUUUGUUUAAUUGGCCUUAAUCAAGCUUUAGUCUUAUCAGUCCUGGAAUAUACCUGUUUGUUUAUGUUUACAGUCAUACAAAGUUAUGGAGUUAAUGGCAUUAGUGGGAGAAAUAAACGAUGCCUGCAUUAAGAUGCACACAUAGCUUGUGGCUUACAUGUGCAAUUGAACCCUGCCAAAGCUAAGUAUUGAGCAAGAAACAAAUUUCGUAUAGUUUAAGGAUAUUGUCUAGAUCUAAUUCGAGCCCAUCACAGAGAAAGGACAAUCUUACAACGAAAGAUGAUCAUGAGAUGAAGACCAAAUCCAAUGUAAUCUACUGGUGUAGCAGUUGCUGCAGUUGGAUAGCCUUGACCAGUCGUGAAAAAACAUUUCGUCCCCUAAAAUCGAACGAAAGUCCAAAAUGUCACUAAUGGUGCGAUUACUUCAUAGAAUGAGAAUGUGUUGAGAAUAAGAAUGAGGAAUAGGAAUAGGAAUAAGAAUAAGAAUAAGAUUUCAAUAUUUACUUGAUAAAAAUAAAUAGAAAUGGAAAUGUACUGGAAUGUCAUUGAUGUGUUUACUUGAUAAAAUAAAUAGGAAUAAGGAAUAGAAAUGAAAAUCAAUUUACCAAAAUACCUAUAAUA
rnacentral:lncRNA from 1 species